rnacentral:misc_RNA from 1 species
UUAUUGUUUAUAGUUUCUACGUUCAUGACAUCUAGUUUGUAGGUCCGAAGACCACGGUGCACAGGUGUGAGAUAAGUGCUAGGCACAUCUAUAAUGAUCCUUCCGCAGGUUCACCUACGGAAA